UCAUCAAGCAUCCACACAUUCAAAUCAACCAACUCUCACAUUCAUUAAGCAUAAGACAUCAAAUGAAUUCUUGCAAAUGGUCAGUUGGUCCAAGUCAUUUGGUUGGGUAAGGGAAGGCUUUUAGUCAAGUGAGUCAAGAGGUUCAAAAUAUAUGAUCUUUAGGGUGGUUUACUCUCAAAACAAGUAGCCUUGACAUUGCACAUAAUAUAUCUAAGAAAGGGACCAACUCAUGCAUACAAUGCUCAAUCUCCAUUGUUCUACCCUUUUCCCAAACAUACAAUUACACAAUCAUUCCCAAAUGUCAAACCCAACUCACAUCUCUCACCAAAAGAUCCUAAGAACAUUAACUCCUUCUCUUUGAAAUCUA
rnacentral:lncRNA from 1 species